rnacentral:lncRNA from 1 species
GCGAAAGCAAACAAGGAUUAGUUGUUAGUCGUUAGUCAAACUCGACAAGACAUCGCAUCUCGUGCCUACGUAUCUCAUCUGGACAUGAGAAUCAGAGUUGCCGUAGUUCAGCUCACGCACGCCAAACAAAACAAGACACCUACACACAAAAAGGUGGCAAACAUGGAGCCCGACUGCCAAUCACUGGACUUACAUCAGCAUCUGAACCAAAACAC